GACGAACGCUGGCGGCGUGCUUAACACAUGCAAGUCGAACGGAAAGGCCUGCUUUCCCUUGUGGAUUGCGGGUACUCGAGUGGCGAACGGGUGAGUAACACGUGAGUGAUCUGCCCCCAACUUGGGUAUAAGCCUGGGAAACUGGGUCUAAUUCCCGAUAGGACUGCAGGGUGGUGCCUGUGGUGGAAAACGAUUUUCUAGUGGUUGGGGCUGAGCUCGCGGCCUAUCAGCUUGUUGGUGGGGUAAUGGCCUACCAAGGCGGCGACGGGUAGCCGGCCUGGGAGGGUGGACGGCCACAUUGGGACUGAGAUACGGCCCAGACUCCGACGGGAGGCAGCAGUGGGGAAUAUUGCACAAUGGGCGGAAGCCUGAUGCAGCGACGCCGCGUGGGGGAUGACGGCCUUCGGGUUGUAAACUCCUUUCGACCGCGAGGAAGCCACCUGGUUGGAAGGGUGGUGACGGUAGUGGUAGAAGAAGCACCGGCUAACUACGUG
rnacentral:rRNA from 1 species